rnacentral:rRNA from 1 species
UACAGAGGGGCUAGCGUUAUUCGGAAUUAUUGGGCGUAAAGCGCACGUAGGCGGUUUGUUAAGUCGGAUGUGAAAUCCCUCGGCUCAAACUGGAGGAAGUGCAUCCGAAACUGGCAGGCUUGAGUACUAAAGAGGGUCGCGGAAUUCCGGUGUAGAGGUGAAAUUCGUAGAUAUCGGGAGGAACACCGGUGGCGAAGGCGGCGACCUGGGUAGAUACUGACGCUGAGGUGCGAAAGCGUGGGGAGCAAACAGG